rnacentral:rRNA from 1 species
AACGCGAAGAACCUUACCUGGGCUUGACAUGCACGUGGUACGACCGGGAAACCGGGAGGACCCGCAAGGGAGCGUGCACAGAUGCUGCAUGGCUGUCGUCAGCUCGUGCCGUGAGGUGUUGGGUUAAGUCCCGCAACGAGCGCAACCCUCGCUGCCAGUUACCAUGUCUGGCGGGACCGCCGGGUCCAACCCGGAGGAAGGUGGGGAUGACGUCAAGUCAGCACGGCUCUUACGUCCAGGGCUACACACACGCUACAAUGGCCGGUACAACGCGCGGCGAUGGGGCGACCCGGAGCGAAUCGCAGCAAAGCCGGUCUCAGUUGGGAUUGCAGGCUGCAACUCGCCUGCAUGAACGCGGAGUUGCUAGUAACCGCAGGUCAGCACACUGCGGUGAAUACGUUCCCGGGCCUUGUACACACC